rnacentral:rRNA from 2 species
GGGUUGUGAGGUUAAGCGACUAAGCGUACACGGUGGAUGCCCUGGCAGUCAGAGGCGAUGAAGGGCGUACUAAUCUGCGAUAAGCGCCGGUAAGGUGAUAUGAACCGUUAUAACCGGCGAUACCCGAAUGGGGAAACCCAGUGUGAUUCGUCACACUAUCAUUAACUGAAUCCAUAGGUUAAUGAGGCGAACCGGGGGAACUGAAACAUCUAAGUACCCCGAGGAAAAGAAAUCAACCGAGAUUCCCCCAGUAGCGGCGAGCGAACGGGGAGGAGCCCAGAGCCUGAAUCAGCAUGUGUGUUAGUGGAAGCGUCUGGAAAGGCGCGCGAUACAGGGUGACAGCCCCGUACACAAAAGCGCAUGUGCUGUGAGCUCGAUGAGUAGGGCGGGACACGUGGUAUCCUGUCUGAAUAUGGGGGGACCAUCCUCCAAGGCUAAAUACUCCUGACUGACCGAUAGUGAACCAGUACCGUGAGGGAAAGGCGAAAAGAACCCCGGCGAGGGGAGUGAAAAAGAACCUGAAACCGUGUACGUACAAGCAGUGGGAGCACCCUUUGGGUGUGACUGCGUACCUUUUGUAUAAUGGGUCAGCGACUUAUAUUCUGUAGCAAGGUUAACCGAAUAGGGGAGCCGGAGGGAAACCGAGUCUUAACCGGGCGUUAAGUUGCAGGGUAUAGACCCGAAACCCGGUGAUCUAGCCAUGGGCAGGUUGAAGGUUGGGUAACACUAACUGGAGGACCGAACCGACUAAUGUUGAAAAAUUAGCGGAUGACCUGUGGCUGGGGGUGAAAGGCCAAUCAAACCGGGAGAUAGCUGGUUCUCCCCGAAAGCUAUUUAGGUAGCGCCUCGUGAAUUCAUCUCCGGGGGUAGAGCACUGUUUCGGCUAGGGGGCCAUCCCGGCUUACCAACCCGAUGCAAACUGCGAAUACCGGAGAAUGUUAUCACGGGAGACACACGGCGGGUGCUAACGUCCGUCGUGAAGAGGGAAACAACCCAGACCGCCAGCUAAGGUCCCAAAGUCAUGGUUAAGUGGGAAACGAUGUGGGAAGGCCCAGACAGCCAGGAUGUUGGCUUAGAAGCAGCCAUCAUUUAAAGAAAGCGUAAUAGCUCACUGGUCGAGUCGGCCUGCGCGGAAGAUGUAACGGGGCUAAACCAUGCACCGAAGCUGCGGCAGCGACACU